rnacentral:lncRNA from 1 species
GAAACAUGCUGGAAGCUACAUGGGAAGCUUGCGGACUGGAAACCUAAGGCAGAAAGGGAGGCGUAUGCACAGGCUGCUGCGACUGAACAAGCACAGCAGUUUGGUCAGAUCACCAGAGAGCAACUUGAGAUCCUUCAGCAGAUGAUGGCCCAAUACACUGCUAAGAAGGAAUCUGCAGGUCCCUCUAACCUCACCACAGCCUGUUUGCUAGCCAAGGUAUUAAAUCUACAGCCCUCCUGACUCUAAAUCAAUUCAAACAAUACUGGAUACUGGAUUCUGGUGCUACUGAACACAUGACUGGUUCUAGACAGCUGCUCCAUAAUAUCCAGCCUCAUGGAGGGAGGGCAGGAGUUCAUAUUGCGGAUGGAACCAUCGCUCCAGUCGAAGGAAUUGGGACAGCCUACCUGACCCCAAAUCAGGCUGUAUUCCCUGUUCUAUAUGUUCCAAAGUUGACUUGUAACCUAAUUUCUGUUAGUCAAAUCACACAAGACCUUAACUGUCGACUAACUUGCGAUCCAUCACAAUGUGUAUUGCAGGAGGUGGGAUCUCAGAGGAUGAUUGGCAGGUUUGAGCUGUGUGAUGGACUGUUCCGUCUGAGGACAAUAAGCGUAGAAAGACCAGGAGGAGAGGAUUCCAAGUCAGUUCACCUAAGUUCUAGGUCAAGCCAGUUAGAAUGUCCUGUCAUGAUGUGGCAUUACCGGUUAGGCCACUCUAGUUUUUCUUAUCUUGAAAAACUGUUUCCUAAGCUGUUUAUCAAUAAAAGUCUGAGUUCUUUCUACUGUGAGGUCUGUCAGCUUGCAAAGCAAACAAGAGUUGUUUAUCAUAGCCUACCAUAUAAGCCAACACAUCCCUUUUCCAUCAUUCACAGCAACAUUUGGGGUCCAUGUUCUGUAAAAACAGUCAGCGGGUUUCGAUGGUUCAUCACCUUUAUUGAUGAUCACACCCGCUUAACAUGGACAUACCUCAUGAAAUCAAAAACUGAAACUAAACUGAUCUUCCAAACUUUCCUAAAUCUUGAAACUACAGAAAUCUUCCAAAAUUUCCUAAAUCAUGUCAAAACUCAGUUUCAAACUUCUAUUCGAGUCCUUCAUACUGAUAAUGCAAAGGACUAUUUCAAUCAAUCCUUAAGUUCAUUCCUAACUGCCAAUGGCAUUGCUCACAGUAGCUCCUGCCCUUAUACUCCUCAGUAGAACGGGAUUGCUAAACGCAAAAACCGUCACCUGCUGGAAGUUGCAAGAGCGUCACUGUUUGCUGCCAAGGCUCCAAAGAACUUAUGGGGUGAUGCUGUAUUCACAGCAACUUACCUUAUCAAUCGUCUCCCAAAUCGAACCCUACGUUUUCAAACUCCUCGUAGUGUUCUCCUAAAAAUUUUCCCUCAUAGUCAUGCUCUAUCCUCCGAUCUUCCCCUUAGAGUUUUUGGAUGUACAGCAUUCGUUCAUUUAGAUUCAUCCUUAUUUCUAAACUUGAUCCUAGAGCAGUGAAAUGUGUCUUCCUUGGAUAUUCUCCUCAUCAUAGUGGUUACAAGUGUUAUUCUCCAAGUAACCACAAAGUUUAUCAUCAAAAAAUGUCACGUUCUUUGAAAAUCGCCCUUUCUACUCCCACUGUCAGUCUCAGGGGGAGAAUUCUACUAGUGAGUCCAUAUCUGUUGAGUCUUCCAUUGGGAGUAUUAUUACCCUAAAAACUCCAGUGGGUCUAGAGCCUCCUAAGGAAGUUCAACCCUCUCCCACAGAACAAAACAUCCAAAUUCCUCCUCUCCUGGUUUAUCAGCGUAGGAAGAAGGCGGCAGUCAACACACAUGCUCAGCCUGACCAGGAUUUUGAUGAGAUCCCAGCCUCCCAAGAAGGUGAGUAAGAGCAAAUGGACCAGGGGGUUGAACAUGGUGAUGAUGGUGAUGUGGUUGGGAAUCAUGACCAGACAGAGGAAAUUCACACUGUUGGUACAGAGGAAAAUCAGGUGGAUGAUACAGUCUACCUUCCAAUUGCACACAGGAAAGGAACUAGAUCGUGUACGACUCACCCUAUUGAGAGAUGGGUUUCAUAUGGUAAUCUAAGCCAGAAAUACAAGGCUUUUGUGGGGACACUCGACGAGACACAAAUCCCUCACUCUAUUGAAGAAGCUAUGAAUAUACCUCACUGGAGGGCAGCAGUAUUGGAAGAAAUAAGUGCACUCCUGAAGAAUAAGACAUGGGACACAGUAAGACUGCCAGCAGGAAAAUCCACAGUCGAUUGUAAGUGGAUUUUCAUAGUGAAGUAUACCUCAGAAGGAAAGAUUGAAAGAUAUAAGGCUCGUCUUAUAGCCAGAGGAUUCACACUGUGCUAUGGAGUGGACUACGAGGAGACAUUUGCUCCUGUAGCCAAGCUAAAAAUUGUGAGAGUCCUUCUAAGCAUUGCAGUAAAUCUAGAUUGGCCCCUAUACCAAUUAGAUGUGAAGAAUGCUUUCCUAAACGGGGAUCUAAGUGAGGAAGUGUAUAUGAAUGUCCCAGCAGGCGUCACCACUGAACCGGGAAUGGUGUGCAGACUAAAGAAGGCACUGUAUGGCCUGAAGCAGUCACCACGAGCAUGGUUUGAGAGGUUCUCUCAGUCCGUGAAGGGAUACGGGUAUUAUCAGUGUCAAACUGAUCAUACCAUGUUUAUAAAACAAAAUCAGGGAGGAAGAAAGGCCAUCCUCAUUGUAUAUGUUGAUGACAUUAUCAUCACAGGGGAUGAUGAAAAGGAAAUCAGGGCAGCUUAAGGAGAAACUAGCACUGGAAUUCGAGAUAAAAGACCUAGGAAAUUUGAGGUAUUUCCUAGGUAUUGAAGUGGCACGAUCUAGUAAGGGACUAAGUUUAUCCCAGCGGAAAUACGUCUUAGAUUUGUUAAAGGAGACUGGGAUGAUUGGGUGCAAACCUGCGAGCACGCCAAUGGAGCACAACUUGAAGUUUGCUCUUGGCCAAGAAGCAGCACUAGUAGAGAGGGGGAGUUACCAAAAAUUGGUAGGAAAGCUAAUAUACUUAGCACACACACGUCCAAACAUCUCCUUUCCAGUAAGCAUCGUGAGCCAACAUAUGCACAGUCCAAAUCAAGAGCAUAUAGAGGCAGUGAUGAGGAUUUUGAGAUACUUAAAGAGCACACCAGGUGUUGGAUUGCUCAUCCAAAAACAUACUGGACGCAGAAUUUCUAUUUAUACGGAUGCGAGUUGGGCUGGAGACCUUACAGAUCGAAGAUCAAUCUCAGCUUAUUGCACCUAUGUAUGGGGGAACUUAGUGACCUGGCGGAGUAAGAAACAAACGGUUGUCUCAAGGAGCAGUGCUGAAGCAGAGUACAGGGCACUGGAAGACGGGAUUUGUGAAGGAGUUUGGUUAAGGUGCAUCCUAAGGGAACUCAAGAUGGAGGAUGAGGGUCCUGUAAGAGUGCUGUGUGACAGCCAGGCUGCACUAAGUAUUGUGAAGAAUCCAGUUCAUCAUGAUCGUACUAAACAUGUUGAACUGGAUCGUCAUUUCAUUUCUGAGAAAGUAAACAACAAGGAGUUCGAGAUGGAGUACGUUCCAUCUAAGCAGCAGAUUGCAAAUAUUCUUACUAAGGCUCUACCUAGAGAUAUGUUCGAUGAUCUACAAGGCAAGCUUGGCCUCCAUAACAUCUACAUCCAAGCUUGAGGGGGAGUGUUGAAUUACAGAAAUAAUUAGGAUAUUAUUAGGCGUAUAACUUAGAAUAAACUAGCUUUCCUAGAGAAUCUGUCUAGCUUGAUUUAUGCAGUGUAUUCAUAGUAAGUAGUAGGUAGAAUAAACCCCUGAUUUGUAGGGAUUACCACAAGCUGGUUCUGCAUGCUAAUGAUGCAGACUGUGUAUAUAUGUAAAAGUAAACCACAGAAAUGGUAUUCAACAUACCUGAAUCAUUCUGAUCUCUGGAUUUCUAUAAGAUUCAGACCUUGAAUCCAGCUUCAUUUCCCUCCUUUCUACUCCCUCACUCUCAUCCGAUGACAAACAUGAACAACGAAGUUCAAGCUCCUCGAUCCGGGAACUCUCCUCCAUCCUUACCGUUUGUAACCUCAGGAGAUCCCUCCCAGAAACACUCAUAUUCAUCCAUCUCGUCGGAUACAGUUUUGGGUUGUAUCACCAAUCACCGUCUAAAUGGAGAUAACUACCUCCAGUGGUCCUCGUUAGUCCUCAAGUUCAUCUCAGGCAGGGGAAAGAGAGGUUACUUGACUGGAAAAUCCAAGAGGCCAGCAGAGGAAGAUCCAUAAUUUGCAAACUGGGACAUUAAGGACAACAUGGUCCAGUCCUGGCUCCUGAAUUCCAUGACCACCUCGAUUGGAGAGAAGUUUCUCCUCCACCAAACAGCUCAAGAGAUCUGGGAAGGAGCACAACACACGUACUCUCACCAGGCCAACAAUGCUGAGUCAUUUGAAGUGGAGAUGCGCCUCCAUGAUCUCAAGCAAGGAGAUCAAUCAGUCACCCAGUACUAUGACGAGCUGUGCAAGUACUGGCUGCAGCAGGAUCUGUAUGACGUGCAUCUAUGGAAGUGCAUAGAGGAUGCAGAGCUUUACCGAAGAAUCCUCCAAGCAAAACGGACCAUCCGCUUCUUACUUGGCCUCAAUCAAGCUCUGGACGAGGUCAAGGGCAGAAUCAUGGGUCGCCUGCCCCUUCCUUCAGUCAGAGAAGCCUUUGCUGAAAUCAAAUGGGAAGAAAGUAGAAGGAAGCUGAUGAUUCCUGACUCCAAGAGUGCUCAAGUUGAAGGCUCUGCCCUCGCCACUCACUACUCGGGGAACCCACAAGGACAUGGAUAUACAAAGUCAGGCAAGGCACGGCCUCAGUGCACUCACUGCAGCAAGCUAGGUCAUACAAAGGAGACCUGCUGAAAACUACACGAAAAACAUGCAGAUUGGAAACCUAAGGCAGAAAGGGAGGCCCAUGCACAGGCUGCUGCAGCUGAGCAGGCCAACCAAUUUGCAGGAAUCACCAGGGAGCAGCUCGAGAUCCUCCAGCAAAUGAUGUCCCAGUACACUGCUAAGAAGGCUUCUGCAGGUUCAUCUGAAACCCAUCACAGCCUGUUUGCUAGUCAAGGUACUAAAUCUAUUGCCCUCAUAGCUUUAAACCAGUUCAAGCAGAAUUGGGUUUUGGAUUCUGGUGCCACUGAACAUAUGACAGGCUCCAUACAACUCCUACAUAACAUUCAGAAGCACAAAGGAAAUGCAGGAGUGCGUAUUGCUGAUGGGACCAUUGCUCCUGUUGAAGGAAUUGGAACAGCAUACCUAACUCCUACUCAAACCGUGUAUCCUGUGCUUUAUGUGCCAAAAUUAAAUUGCAACUUAAUUUCCGUUAGUCAAAUCACCAAAGACUUGAAUUGUCGACUAACGUGUGAUCCUUCUCACUGUACAUUACAGGAGGCGGGAUCUCAGAGGAUGAUUGGCAGUUUGAGCUGUGUGAUGGGCUAUACCUACUGAAGACAAUAAACAGACCAAGACCAGAAGGAGAGGUUUCCAAGUCAGUGAAUUUGAGUUCUACAUCGAGUCAGUUAGAAUGUCCAGUCAUGAUGUGGCAUUAUCGCCUAGGUCAUUCUAGUUUUUCCUACCUUAAAAAAUUGUUUCCGAACCUUUCCAUCAAUAAAAGCCCUAGUAUGUUUUCCUGUGAUGUCUGUCAGCUUGCUAAACAAACACAAGCAGUCUAUCGUAGCAUACCAUACAAACCAUCACAUCCUUUUUCAAUUAUUCAUAGCGACAUUUGGGGUCCAUGCUCUGUGAAAAUAAUCAGUGGCUUUAAGUGGUUCAUCACAUUCAUUGAUUAUCACACACGCCUAACAUGGACCUAUCUCAUGAAAUCCAAAGCUGAAACAAACCAGAUUUUUCAGACGUUUCAAAAUCAAAUCAAAACUCAGUUUAAAACGCCUAUUCGUGUCUUACAGACAAAUAAUGCUAAGGACUAUUUCAACAAGUCCUUGGACUCCUUUC